rnacentral:rRNA from 1 species
GAGAGGCAGAUGGAAUUGGUGGUGUAGGGGUAAAAUCCGUAGAGAUCACCAGGAAUACCCAUUGCGAAGGCGAUCUGCUGGAACUCAACUGACGCUAAUGCGUGAAAGCGUGGGGAGCAAACAGGAUUAGAUACCCUGGUAGUCCACGCCCUAAACGAUGUAUACUAGUUGUUGCUGAGCUAGUCUUGGCAGUAAUGCACCUAACGGAUUAAGUAUACCGCCUGGGGAGUACGGUCGCAAGAUUAAAACUCAAAGGAAUAGACGGGGACCCGCACAAGCGGUGGAGCAUGUGGUUUAAUUCGAAGAUACGCGAAGAACCUUACCCGGACUUGAUAUCUAACAAAUCAUCUAGAGAUAGAAGAGUGUCUGCUUGCAGAAAUGUUAAGACAGGUGCUGCACGGCUGUCGUCAGCUCGUGUCGUGAGAUGUUGGGUUAAGGUCCCGCAACGAGCGCAACCCACGUCAUUAGUUGCUAACGGUUCGGCCGAGCACUCUAAUGAGACUGCCUUCGCAAGGAGGAGGAAGGUGUGGACGACGUCAAGUCAUCAUGG